rnacentral:rRNA from 1 species
UACGAAGGGGGCUAGCGUUGCUCGGAAUCACUGGGCGUAAAGCGCACGUAGGCGGAUUUCUAAGUCAGGGGUGAAAUCCUGGAGCUCAACUCCAGAACUGCCUUUGAUACUGGGAAUCUCGAGUCCGAGAGAGGUGAGUGGAACUGCGAGUGUAGAGGUGAAAUUCGUAGAUAUUCGCAAGAACACCAGUGGCGAAGGCGGCUCACUGGCCCGGUACUGACGCUGAGGUGCGAAAGCGUGGGGAGCAAACAGG